GAUGAAGAACGCAGCGAAAUGCGAUAAGUAAUGUGAAUUGCAGAAUUCAGUGAAUCAUCGAAUCUUUGAACGCACAUUGCGCCCGCCAGUAUUCUGGAGGGCAUGCCUGUCUGAGCGUCAUUUCAACCCUCAUGCCCCUAGGGCGUGGUGUUGGGGAUCGGCCAAAGCCCGCGAGGGACGGCCGGCCCCUAAAUCUAGUGGCGGACCCGUCGUGGCCUCCCCUGCGAAGUAGUGAUAUUCCGCAUCGGAGAGCGACGAGCCCCUGCCGUUAAACCCCCAACUUUCCAAGGUUGACCUCAGAUCAGGUAGGAAUACCCGCUGAACUUAAGCAUAUCAAUAAGCGGAGGA
rnacentral:misc_RNA from 1 species